GUGAAUACAUCAGUUAAGUUUAAGACGUGGAUGUUGAACGUGGAAGGUGUUGUGCACGCAAGAGGGAAAGCCAGCAAGGAAGCAAGAUGGUCAGACAGAUAAAAAGUGACUUCAACUGAACAGAAAUACUUCGUGUCAUGGUUCCUUCUUUGGUCUUGAGCUUUUUGAAAGAUCGGUAAAAGCAGAACCAUAAUUAUUUGAAACUACAUAUAAUUCUCUCUCAUUGAAUCUCAGCAUUUUCCUAUCUCUGUCUCUCUUUCUCACUCUCUGUGGACAACUGGAUUCAUUGUUGCAGCUUCAGAACACCGAAGUCUCUGUGGAAUAACUAAAAUUAACCUAUCUGCAAGUUAUU